GCCUGGAUGGUUCAGUUGGUUAAGCAUUGGACUCCUGAUUUCAGCUCAGGUCAUAAUCUCAUGGUUCAUGGGAUCAAGCCCCAUGCUGGGCU
rnacentral:tRNA from 1 species